UUUCCGUAGGUGAACCUGCGGAAGGAUCAUUAUUGAAUGGUUUGUUUGAAUUGGCUUAAAACCCCAAUUCAGCAAUACAUAUCCAUAACACCUGUGCACUGUUGGAUGAGCAAACUCGCAAGAGCAAGCAAGUCCACUUUUACACCAAACAAUUUGUAACAAAUGUAGUCUUAUUAUAACAAUAAUAAAACUUUCAACAACGGAUCUCUUGGUUCUC
rnacentral:misc_RNA from 1 species